UACGGAAGGCAGCAGGGGGAAUAUUGCACAAUGGGCGCAAGCCUGAUGCAGCCAUGCCGCGUGUAUGAAGAAGGCCUUCGGGUUGUAAAGUACUUUCAGUCGUGAGGAAGGUGUUAAGGUUAAUAACCUUAGCAAUUGACGUUAGCGACAGAAGAAGCACCGGCUAACUCCGUGCCAGCAGCCGCGGUAAUACGGAGGGUGCGAGCGUUAAUCGGAAUUACUGGGCGUAAAGGGCACGCAGGCGGUUAAUUAAGUUGGAUGUGAAAUCCCCGGGCUUAACCUGGGAAUGGCAUUCAAGACUGGUUAGCUAGAGUCUUGUAGAGGGGGUAGAAUUCCAUGUGUAGCGGUGAAAUGCGUAGAGAUGUGGAGGAAUACCGGUGGCGAAGGCGGCCCCUGGCAAAGGACUGACGCUCAUGUGCGAAAGCGUGGGGAGCAAACAGGGAUUAGAUACC
rnacentral:rRNA from 1 species